rnacentral:rRNA from 1 species
CGUGCAGGCGGGUUGGUAAGUCAGAUGUGAAAGCCCUGGGCUCAACCCAGGAAGUGCAUUUGAAACUGCCAUCCUUGAGUAUGGGAGAGGAGAGUGGAAUUCCCAAUGUAGAGGUGAAAUUCGUAGAUAUUGGGAGGAACACCCGUGGCGAAGGCGACUCUCUGGACCAAUACUGACGCUGAGACGCGAAAGCGUGGGAAGCAAACA